AUUGGAUAAAUUAAAAUAAAAGAGGUUUAUUUUGAUUUAAAUUUGGAUUAAAAUAAAGGAGUUUAUUUUGAUUCAAAAUUAGAUUUUAUACUAACUAAAUUUUGCCCAUUAAAUGAUAUCAAUAUAUAUAUUGAAUGUUUAUUAUUCAUGAGAUGAAUGUAUUUUAUUGAUGCAUAUGGUGAUGUGUAUGAUAAUAAAUGGGAUUGAGUAUGGACUAUUAACCAAUGUGAUUGGAUUUUAUUUUAGUUGGAUGCAUGAAUGUAUGUGUUUUAUUAAAUGGGGUCUGCGUACCUCGUCUUCUCUAAUUUUUUCUUAAUGUAAAUUCUAUCUCCCUCCUAUGUACUUCCCCUUGACUGAUGAUCAAGGUUUCUAUUUAUAUUAAAUAGUUUUGUAAUAGGAAUAGUUAGAAUUAAUUUUGAAAAAUUGGAGAUCAAGGGGCAAGGAGCGCUUGAAGACCCGUUUGUAAUAGAGCCCGAGUUUAAAUGUAAUAGUUAUAUUUAAAUAUUAAUUCUUGUACCCCUAGGGUUUGACCUUUUGGUUUACUUGGUGGCUCUAGUGAACCAAACUAGAAUAAAAGUCCAUAAUCAAUCCGGGUAGAAUAUAGUAUUCUAUGUGCAUACUUAUACUAUAUAUAUUAUAUAUUAUGCAAACAUGCUUCGCAUGUUAAUUAAUAUGACGCGUAUUUUAUAUAUAUAUGUGCAUGCGCGCUAAACAAGAUGAGACAAAUUAAUAACAAACCCCUCAAAUAUUUUAUAUUAAGUUGUAACGUUCAAAGAUAUUUGGAAUAUCGAACGUCGCCUUCUAGCAUGAUAGAAACAAUAGAGUAUUGAAUAUUUAAUAUGAGUUUGUUGUGCACACACAAGGCAAGUAUUAAAUAUUUAAGAUGUUGUUUUUAUUACAUAUGAUGUUUAUAAGGAAUUGAACAUUACUGCUUUGUUGUGCACACACAAGG
rnacentral:lncRNA from 1 species